UCUCCGUUGGUGAACCAGCGGAGGGAUCAUUACAGAGUUUUCUAACUCCCAAACCCUUUGUGAACUUACUAUUUUGUUGCCUCGGCGGGCCUCUGAGAUUCGUCUCACGUCCGCCGGCGGCCAAGUUAACUCUUGUUUUUACACUGAAACUCUGAGAAAAAAACACAAAUGAAUCAAAACUUUCAACAACGGAUCUCUUGGUUCUGGCAUCGAUGAAGAACGCAGC
rnacentral:misc_RNA from 1 species